UUACGGCCGUAUCACGUUGAAACACCAGUUCCCGUACGAUCACCGAAUUUAAUCACCGUUGAGCCUGGUCAGAUGACUGACCGCUUGGGAACACCUGGUGCUGUAAG